rnacentral:rRNA from 1 species
AGUGAACGCUGGCGGUAGGCCUAACACAUGCAAGUCGAACGGCAGCACAGUAAGAGCUUGCUCUUACGGGUGGCGAGUGGAGGAAGGGUGAGGAAUACAUCGGAAUCUACUUUUUCGUGGGGGAUAACGUAGGGAAACUUACGCUAAUACCGCAUACGACCUACGGGUGAAAUCAGGGGAUCUUCGGACCUUGCGCGAUUGAAUGAGCCGAUGUCGGAUUAGCUAGUUGGCGGGGUAAAGGCCCACCAAGGCGACGCUCCGUAGCUGGUGUGAGAGGAGGAAGAGGCACACUGGAGCUGAGAGACGACACUGAGUCUGAGGGGAGGCAGAAGUGGGGAAUAUUGGACAAUGGGCGCAAGCUUGAACCAGCGAUAGAGGGUUGAUGAAGAAGGCCUGCGGGUGGGAAAGCCGUUUUGGUGUGAAAGAAAAGCAGCAGGUGAAUACACCGCUGUUCUGACGGUACCCAAAGAAGAAGCACCGGCUAACUUCGUG